AACGAACGCUGGCGGCGUGCCUAACACAUGCAAGUCGUGCGAGAAAGUUCCUUCGGGAGCGAGUAAAGCGGCGCACGGGUGAGUAACACGUAGGUAACCUGCCCCCCAGUCUGGAACAACUAGAGGAAACUCUAGCUAAUGCCGGAUGAGACCACGAUCCCUUCGGGGGUUGCGGCCAAAGAUGGCCUCUACUUGUAAGCUAUCGCUGAGGGAUGGGCCUGCGGCCAUUAGCUUGUUGGUGAGGUAACGGCUCACCAAGGCUGUGAUGGCUAGCUGGUCUGAGAGGAUGACCAGCCACACUGGGACUGAGACACGGCCCAGACUCCUACGGGAGGCAGCAGUGGGAAUAUUGCGCAAUGGGCGAAAGCCUGACGCAGCGACGCCGCGUGGGUGAUGAAGGCC
rnacentral:rRNA from 1 species